rnacentral:rRNA from 1 species
UACGAAGGGGGCUAGCGUUGUUCGGAAUUACUGGGCGUAAAGCGCGCGCAGGCGGUCUUCCAAGUCAGUGGUGAAAGCCCGGAGCUCAACUCCGGAAUUGCCAUUGAAACUGUUGGACUUGAGGAUGAGAGAGGUGAGUGGAAUUCCCAGUGUAGAGGUGAAAUUCGUAGAUAUUGGGAAGAACACCGGUGGCGAAGGCGGCACAUCCUG